ACAGAAGCAUCUGGACACUUACUGUCCCUAGCGCAAAUGGCAAAAGAGCUUAAUGGUUGGUACCCGAGGUUCAAAUUCGAAUCCUAGUUGAUUUACAUUUUCAACUAAGUUUAUUUCUAAAUGAAAUAAACGAAGAGAGUAGCAUACUACUUUUUUCUCAAAAAAAAAAAACAUAAGCAUCUAGAUGCAUAUUUGUUUAACCGAAAGUUCUGAGGAUGUCUAUAGGUACGGAUAUUUAAAAUUUUAUCUAAAUUUAAACGGAACAAAUUUAUCCGAUGUUAAAUGGAUAUGAUUUCAGAUAUGAAUAUAAAAAAUACAAACCCGACGGAUAUGAAUUCGGAUGUAGAUUUUGACUGUACUUGAUCCAACCCGAUCUGAACCCGAAUUUAUUUUACUUUAUAUACAAUGCAUGUAUAUAUAAAAAUUUGAUGUUAUAUUAAAUUUAUUUUUUAAAAAUUUAGAUUUAAUGUAAUAUAUUUUGAAAUAUUGAAAAGAAAAAUAAUUGGUUCGAAUUUUCGUGUUCGGAUUUUAAAUUUUUGGUUAGGUUCGGAUUUGAGUUUGAAUUUGAGUUUCAGGUUUGAAGUCAGGUUCGGAUUCGGGUUUUUGAAAAUCCGCCUCCGAAUCUCACCCGUUGA
rnacentral:lncRNA from 1 species